rnacentral:rRNA from 1 species
GAUGAACGCUAGCUACAGGCUUAACACAUGCAAGUCGAGGGGUAGCAUGUUGGUUGCUUGCAACCGAUGAUGACGACCGGCGCACGGGUGAGUAACGCGUAUCCAACUUGGCUUAUACUUAGGGAUAACCCGUUGAAAGACGGCCUAAUACCUAAUGGUUUAUAAUAGUUGCAUGACUUUUAUAAUAAAGAUUUAUCGGUAUAAGAUAGGGAUGCGUCUGAUUAGUUAGUUGGUGAGGUAACGGCUCACCAAGGCAUCGAUCAGUAGGGGUUCUGAGAGGAAGGUCCCCCACAUUGGAACUGAGACGCGGUCCAAACUCCUACGGGAGGCAGCAGUGAGGAAUAUUGGUCAAUGGACGUAAGUCUGAACCAGCCAAGUAGCGUGCAGGAUGACGGCCCUAUGGGUUGUAAACUGCUUUUAUGUGAGAAUAAAGUUAACUACGUGUAGUUAUUUGCAUGUAUCACAUGAAUAAGGACCGGCUAAUUCCGUGCCAGCAGCCGCGGUAAUACGGAAGGUCCAGGCGUUAUCCGGAUUUAUUGGGUUUAAAGGGAGCGUAGGCCGUUUGGUAAGCGUGCUGUGAAAUUUAGAGGCUCAACCCCUACCGUGCAGCGCGAACUGUCAGACUUGAGUGCGUAGUAGGUAGGCGGAAUUCGUGGUGUAGCGGUGAAAUGCUUAGAUAUCACGAAGAACUCCGAUUGCGAAGGCAGCUUACCGUAUCGCAACUGACGCUGAUGCUCGAAGGUGCGGGUAUCGAACAGGAUUAGAUACCCUGGUAGUCCGCACAGUAAACGAUGGAUGCUCGCUGUUGGCUUUUAUAGUCAGUGGCUUAGCGAAAGCGUUAAGCAUCCCACCUGGGGAGUACGCCGGCAACGGUGAAGCUCAAAGGAAUUGACGGGGGCCCGCACAAGCGGAGGAACAUGUGGUUUAAUUCGAUGAUACGCGAGGAACCUUACCCGGGCUUGAACUGCAGGAGAACGAUUCAGAGAUGAUGAGGUCCUUCGGGACUCCUGUGGAGGUGCUGCAUGGUUGUCGUCAGCUCGUGCCGUGAGGUGUCGGCUUAAGUGCCAUAACGAGCGCAACCCCUUUUCUUAGUUGCCAUCGGGUGAUGCCGGGCACUCUGAGGAUACUGCCACCGUAAGGUGUGAGGAAGGUGGGGAUGACGUCAAAUCAGCACGGCCCUUACGUCCGGGGCUACACACGUGUUACAAUGGGGCAUACAGAGUGUUGGUUGCAUGUAAAUGUAAUCUAAUCUUUAAAGUGCUUCUCAGUUCGGACUGGGGUCUGCAACCCGACCCCACGAAGCUGGAUUCGCUAGUAAUCGCGCAUCAGCCAUGGCGCGGUGAAUACGUUCCCGGGCCU